CAGAUGAUGUGGAAGCUUACCUGAUGGCUUUUGAAAGGACAGCUGAAAGAGGAGGUUGGCCUGAGUCUGAAUGGGCAAGCCUCCUCGCUCCAUUUCUGAGUGGAGAACCCCAAAAGGCAUAUUAUGUUUUGGAGCCUGCACAAGCUUGUGACUACAAGAAACUGAAAGCAGAAAUCUUGGCCCGCUUGGGAGUCACAACAGCAGUUCGUGCCCAGAGAUUUCACUCC